GGACGUGAGGGUGAUCCGGCCAUGACAUCUGUCACCCCAUUGAUUGCCAGUGUUGACUCAGCUGAUCUGGCAGGCUAGGCAGGUGUCCCCUCCCGCCUCACUCGGUCCAUGCGCGAAGCUGCACACGCCUGCUCGGAUUAGGAGGACGACCUUCCCCGUUACAGGAGGACCAUUCUUGCAUCACGGGUAUUCAAGUGGCUGCUGUCCCCUGCUAGAAUCUCCAAACAAGCUUUCAAGGCCCGUAUCCGAAACAGGCUCCAGGCUCUGAGCUGUCCCCGCGGAGCCCCACGCGGGGCUCAAACUCACGG
rnacentral:snRNA from 1 species